AUAUGAAUCACACAGGGAUCUUGUUAAAAAUUCAGUCUUUGGAGUUAGGGUCUGAAAUUCUUCAUUUCUAACAAGUUCCCAGGUAAUAGUGAU
rnacentral:miRNA from 1 species